UACGAAGGGGGCUAGCGUUGCUCGGAAUUACUGGGCGUAAAGGGAGCGUAGGCGGACAUUUAAGUCAGGGGUGAAAUCCCGGGGCUCAACCUCGGAAUUGCCUUUGAUACUGGGUGUCUUGAGUAUGAGAGAGGUAUGUGGAACUCCGAGUGUAGAGGUGAAAUUCGUAGAUAUUCGGAAGAACACCAGUGGCGAAGGCGACAUACUGGCUCAUUACUGACGCUGAGGUGCGAAAGCGUGGGGAGCAAACAGG
rnacentral:rRNA from 1 species